rnacentral:rRNA from 1 species
AACGAACGCUGGCGGCAUGCCUAACACAUGCAAGUCGAACGAGCCCUUCGGGUCUAGUGGCGCACGGGUGCGUAACGCGUGGGAAUCUGCCCUUAGGUUCGGAAUAACUCUCCGAAAGGGGUGCUAAUACCGGAUACUGUCUUCGGACCAAAGAUUUAUCGCCUAUGGAUGGGCCCGCGUUGGAUUAGCUAGUUGGUAGGGUAAAAGCCUACCAAGGCGACGAUCCAUAGCUGGUCUGAGAGGAUGAUCAGCCACACUGGGACUGAGACACGGCCCAGACUCCUACGGGAGGCAGCAGUGGGGAAUAUUGGACAAUGGGCGAAAGCCUGAUCCAGCAAUGCCGCGUGAGUGAUGAAGGCCUUAGGGUUGUAAAGCUCUUUUACCCGGGAUGAUAAUGACAGUACCGGGAGAAUAAGCUCCGGCUAACUCCGUG